AUCCUGAUCUUAUUUUGUGUAUGCCAUUGAUUUGUUGGAGAAAAUGUGUCAUCCACCUUGCUGAAUCCUCCACAUUCUGAGUGUGGCUGCUUGCUACUGGAGGAUUCCAUCUUGGGCCAGUGGAAACCAUCUUCACAUUGGAUCUUGUUUCCUACUGACGUGCAAGUGGUAUUGAGAGACGAUCAAGGAUCUGGAGUGCUCAUUGUUAUUGGUUUUCAAUACUUCUAGGCAUUUUUAAGAAAACAGAGCUAAAUAUACAUGUGUGUACAAGAAAAAAGGAACUAUGAAAAAGCCAGAUGCUGAUCUGGGAAAUGUCCCAGAAUUAUUCUUUUGAAAAAUAUUAACACUCCAUUACAAAAGGUCUUGCGGAGAAUUAUAUUGAAACUCAGUUCCUGAUGACUAUAAAUAUAUAGAAGCAGCAACACAUUGGAGCAAAACUUGCGAUUUGAGGGUGAGCAUUAUGCAAUUGAUUAGGAAAAAUGUGAGCUUUGAAAUUGUCUUUAAGUAUAAUUCUACUUCCAACGGUACAGAUUGCAUUUGGACCUAAAAAGUGCUCCCACGCCUUCAAACACAGUAUGCUAAAGAGGCAUUUGUUUCAUCCACGAAGAACCCGGGCUCCGUGGAAAGGUUGCUCCCGUGACCACUCAACCUCUAUUUGAACAGAAUCUUCAAUGGCCAGAAACUCAGAAGUACCUAGAGUAAUUGGGGCUGCAAGGAAAACGAUGAUGAAACAAAAUGCAUUCAAAGCUCUCAGCUGCCUUUCGAAGAAGAUGAACGUAGUUUUAAAUGGAGGCUUUCUUAUUUCCUUGCUAGUGUGGGUCAGCAAGGGAUUACGCCAGCAAGAUCCUUAAAGUCACUGGAGGUGCUUUUGGGAAAGAAAAGACGUCUGCUCACCCCCACUCCUUAGGGGAUUUAGUUUAAGCCUUAGAAGG
rnacentral:lncRNA from 1 species